AUAUAUACGUAUCAUGACACACGCGAUAUUUGAAGUGAAAUAUGUUUUCCAGAGUAAAAUAACGAGAUUAAUGAUACAUCCGAUGUUUCUGAAUCCAUCCCACUUGUGCAUGCGUGUGACAUAAA